rnacentral:rRNA from 1 species
GGGCCCGCACAAGCGGUGGAGCAUGUGGUUUAAUUCGAAGCAACGCGAAGAACCUUACCAGGUCUUGACAUCCUCUGACACCUCUGGAGACAGAGUUUUCCCCUUCGGGGGACAGAGUGACAGGUGGUGCAUGGUUGUCGUCAGCUCGUGUCGUGAGAUGUUGGGUUAAGUCCCGCAACGAGCGCAACCCUUGUUCUUAGUUGCCAGCAUUCAGUUGGGCACUCUAAGGAGACUGCCGGUGACAAACCGGAGGAAGGUGGGGAUGACGUCAAAUCAUCAUGCCCCUUAUGACCUGGGCUACACACGUGCUACAAUGGAUAGAACAAAGGGCAGCAAAACCGCGAGGUCAAGCCAAUCCCAUAAAUCUAUUCUCAGUUCGGAUUGCAGGCUGCAACUCGCCUGCAUGAAGCCGGAAUCGCUAGUAAUCGCGGAUCAGCAUGCCG